rnacentral:lncRNA from 1 species
CUUCACUCCUCCCGUUGAGCACCUCCAUUCCUAGUUCAGCCAACCUGUUCAGUAUGUGUCCCAAAAUGAAUGACUUGUCAAAGGUGCCUCUGGUUGCCAGCUGCUGUGGAACACAGCUGGGACCCCAGUCUCUAUAGGAGCUUUCCUCCUUUCCUCCAUAGGCCAGUGACAGCCUGAGGUCCCAGCCCUCUGAGGCAUUUGCAGAUUUGCAUAAUCACACAAACAAACCCAGAGAUAAACCCCUGAAUUGUGCAGGUGUACACAGCAGCUAGGGAGACUAAGACAGGAGUUCAAAGCCAGCCUCAGCAAAAGCAAGCUGUUAAGCAACUCAGUGAGGCUGGGAACCUGGCUCAGUGGACAAGUGCCCCUGAAUUGGGCCUUCAGCCAGUACUUUCAGCUCUUUGGAAGUUAAGGACAUCAGGGGGAAAGGGCAAUCUUCUAGGAACCCCUGAAGCCCCGCUCUAGGACAGCUGUCCUUCCAGCCUGGGACAUCCUGGGAGACAUAUAUCCACAGGCCUUCACAUCCGGUCUUGGGUGAUGGGAGGGCUCCACACCUCACUUAAGCACCUGAGCAGUUAUGCUAAAUCCCACAGAAGUUCUGGCACAAGUUCUGGACCUCAUUUUUUUGGCUGUUGACUGACCUUUGUUUUAUUUAUUUCUAUGAGUUGCCAAGAAUCAAACCCAGUGCCUCACACAUGCAAGGCAAGCGCUCUACCACUGAGCCACGACCCCAGCCCCCACAUGACCUCAUUUUUGCUGGAGUUGCAGCCCCUCCCAUCAGCACCUUUCUCAUUCCCUCCUCCACCUUUGUUCACAAAGGGGAAGCUUUGAGAACGCCUGCCAAACUCCCAGUUUCCAGAGA